rnacentral:misc_RNA from 1 species
CAACUUCAUUGCUCCAAAGGGUGUGUCCACAUUAAUGUUGCCUUUCAUGGAAUAGCCAGUACCUCUCCCUCUGAUCAUGUCCCAUAGAGCAGAGCCGAAGUCCUUGGGCCUGAAGGUUAUUGGAAGAUCGAUAUAGGUGAUUCCAUUUUUUGCAAGUGUAGCUGAUUUCUCAAGCUCUGCACCACCAACAUUCACAUCGGAGAGCCAAAGAUCAUAAUCAAGGCUAUUGAGCCCCAGAUCAAAGUCGUUCUUGUUAUCCAGCUUUAACUUAAGAACUGCUACAGUUUCCUCGAAAGAGAACCUCUCAAAAUGAAUUUUCUCAACAUCAAUAUCAGGCUUGUAAGGUAUAGGAAUCUCUCCAUUUUUUUCAAGAGGAAUAGUUAUCCUACCAAAAACAGGCACAUCAACUAUGAGGUCAACCUUGAUCUUAUAUGGAAUGAUGCUUCCCGGCUUUAUAUCGUGGUAUGUAGUUCUGAUGUCAUCAUAAACCAGAUUAAGUGGUAUUUUGACGGUCUCUGAACCAUGUGCAUGGAUCGUUCCAGCAUCAGGGAUCAAUCCAGAAAGCAGUUCCCUUCCAUCACUCUCAAUUAAGUAGUUUAUGUCAAUGAGAGGAAUUGGGAUGGGGUUUGGGUUCUUCACAAGCACAUCAACAACUAUUUCAGCCUUUUCAAGAUUGAUAUGAGGAAUAUGAAUUCCAGAGACAUCUGCAGUUGGUUUUCCAAAACCUACUGUUUCCUCGAUUUUCUCACCAAUAUCCUGGAUGAAGCCCUUAACUUUAUCAAUAAAACUGCCCUUUUGCUCAUCUUUCUCCUCCUCGUCUUUGUCCUUGAAAACCCUUUCGACAAUCUCUGGAUUUUCCGAAGACGACAUACCUUUUGCUAAGAAAUUGCUGGAAAAUUUGUUGAUUUUGGACAAGAGAAGUGUAAUGUGUAGUCUGA